rnacentral:lncRNA from 13 species
ACAAAUCCCGAGGAAUAUCCAGGAGGGACACGGAGCUCAGGGGUCAGGUUAGCUCCGGGCUGGGGAAUUGGGGAUUUUCCUGGGAUUUCUGCUGGCGGUGACGGAUCCGAGACACCCCGGCCGAGGGUUGCGGGAGCUUUGCUGCGCUCCCGGAGCUUUUCCAUGCUCCCGAAUAUUCCUGGAAGUGGGAAUUGCAGCCCGCCGGGGGUGCUGAGAGCCCGCAGGUGCCUCCGGAGCGGGAUGGAGUUAAUCCGGCCGGGAUUGACUCGUUCCACGCUGGCUUUUCCCAGGAAAUGAAAUCCCGCCUGGAUCCGCCUGUGCUGGGAUUGUCCAAGGUGUGUGAUCCGUCCGGAACCGGGACCAGCGUCCGGCCCUGAGCGGCACCGGGAGCCCCCCCAUAUCCUGGAGCCCCCCCACAUCCUGGAGCCCCCCGACAUCACCCUGAGGCCCUGCGGGGGGGUCCCCGCGGGGGUCGCGCCCCCGAGGCGCCGCUGUGUGUCCGUCCUGGAGCCUGGCACGGCCUGGGAUGAGGAGGAGGAGGAGGAGGAGGAGGAAGAGCGAUUUCCCGGGGUGUCCCUGCGGAGAUCCAGGACGCUCCGCGGCUCCCUGGAUCCUUUCCGCCGGCACAGCUGGGAACCGGGCAAGGAGCCGCGGGGGAUCCCCGGCUAUGACCAGCUCAGCGAGAGCCCCGAGCUCGGCUCCAGCGCGGAGCAGCUGGGGGGGCUCUGCCGGCGCCGCCGGGACCCCCGGAGAGCCCCCCUGGUCCACAGCAGCGAUGACCUGGACUCGCUGCUCUCCCAGGACGAGGAGGACGAGGCCGAUGUGAAGCGGGCACAGGUGGGACCCUCCUGUCACCUCGGGGGUCACCCAGCACCCACCUGAGCCGGGAGGGGAGUGGGAACCCCCGGAGAGGGGAUGGCUGUGAGAAAGUGGCAUCCUGGUGGUUUUGCCAUCAUCUUGGGUGGCUUUGUCAUCGUCCUGGUGGCUUUGUCAUCACCCCGAGUGGUUUUGUCAUCGUCCUGGUGGCUUUGCCAUCAUUUUAGGUGACCUCGUCAUCGUUUUGGGUGGCUUUGCCGUCAUCCAGGGUGCCUUUGCCAUUGUCCUGGGGGGUUGCCAUUGUCCUGAGUGACUUUGUCGUCAUCUUGA